ensembl:ncRNA C29H12.12 ncRNA
CCAAACUGAGCAAAUAAGUAUUUUCGAGAAAGGUACUACCAGGUCUGUAGCCAUAAAAUUUUUAUGUUCUUGCUCAUAAAACACAAAAUAAGGAGACACACAGCUGGGAGCCACAGAGGGGACGUUUUGAUAAACCUCAGUUUCUAUGACAACGUGGAACAUUUUUAUAGGCACUGGGGACAAAAAAACUGAAAAAUGAGAAACGAACCGACCUCCACUCGUUUU